rnacentral:rRNA from 1 species
ACUCCUACGGGAGGCAGCAGUGAGAUAUUGGUCAAUGGAGGGAACUCUGAACCAGCCAUCCCGCGUGUAGGAAGACGGCCUUAUGGGUUGUAAACUACUUUUAUACAGGAAGAAACGUACCCUCGUGAGGGUGCCUGACGGUACUGUAGGAAUAAGCACCGGCUAACUCCGUGCCAGCAGCCGCGGUAAUACGGAGGGUGCGAGCGUUAUCCGGAUUUAUUGGGUUUAAGGGUCCGUAGGCGGGUUAAUAAGUCAGUGGUGAAAUCCCAUCGCUUAACGAUGGAACUGCCAUUGAUACUGUUAGUCUUGAAUGAGGGUGCAGUGGUUGGAAUGUGUAGUGUAGCGGUGAAAUGCAUAGAUAUUACACAGAACACCGAUUGCGAAGGCAGAUCACUAACCCUAAAUUGACGCUGAGGGACGAAAGCGUGGGGGAGCGAACAGGAUUAGAUACCCUGUAGACUGUC